GGCUCCAUAGUGUAGUGGUUAGCACAUCUACUUUAUAGGCAGAAGGUCCUGGGUUCGCGCGCCCCAAGCGGAGCCA
rnacentral:tRNA from 1 species